CAAAAGCUUGGUCCUGACUUUUCUAUCAGCUCUAGCAAAAUUUACACAUGCAAGUAUCCGCACCCCCGUGAGAAUGCCCUACAGUUUCCUUCUACGGAAACAAGGAGCUGGUAUCAGGCACACACAGCUAGCCCACGACACCUUGCUUAGCCACACCCCCAAGGGAUUUCAGCAGUGAUAAACAUUAAGCCAUAAGUGUAAACUUGACUUAGUUAAAGCUAAAAGAGCCGGUUAAACUCGUGCCAGCCACCGCGGUUAUACGAGAGACUCAAGUUGAUAGCUUUCGGCGUAAAGCGUGGUUAGAACACAAAAGAACACUAAAGCCAAACUCCCUCAAGGCUGUUAUACGCAUCCGAGGACAUGAAGAUCAACAACGAAAGUAGCUUUAAAUAUUUCGACCCCACGAAAGCUGUGAAACAAACUGGGAUUAGAUACCCCACUAUGCACAGCCGUAAACUUUGGUAACACCUUACAAUUGUUGCCCGCCCGGGUACUACGAGCAUUAGCUUAAAACCCAAAGGACUUGGCGGUGCUUUAGACCCACCUAGAGGAGCCUGUUCUAGAACCGAUAACCCCCGUCUAACCUCACCUUCCCUUGCCUCUUCCGCCUAUAUACCGCCGUCGUCAGCAUACCCUGUGAAGGUACCAUAGUAAGCAAAAUUGGUCUAACCCAAAACGUCAGGUCGAGGUGUAGCAUAUGAGAAGGAAAGAAAUGGGCUACAUUUCCUCAGCGAGGAAACCACGGAAUGUGCUAUGAAACUAUUCACAUGAAGGAGGAUUUAGUAGUAAGCAGAAAACAGAGUGUUCCGCUGAACCUGGCCCUGAAGCGCGCACACACCGCCCGUCACUCUCCCCAAGCCAAUGAUCUAUAUUCUUAAUAAGCUAAAUAGGCAAAGGGGAGGCAAGUCGUAACAUGGUAAGUGUACCGGAAGGUGCACUUGGAAAAAU
rnacentral:ncRNA from 1 species